GUGGGGGGAAUGGGGAGGAGGGGUGGGAGGGUGGUCGAGGUGUAAGGAUGUGGGGUAGUGUCUUUGGGGAAAGGGGUUCCGUUAGAAUUUCCGCUCUGGGGCAUGAGGGGUCUGCGGGGCAAGCCGCUUAGAGUCCUGAGGAGACGCCGCAAGGCCCGGCGCCGGAGCGCCCGAGGCCGGGCCCGGGUCCACGGGUGGUCGCACCUGGACCCGGGAAGCAGAGGGGCACAGAUGCUGCGAGAAAAUGUGUGGGUGCCCUGGAACGGGCUCAUUGUGAUUGGGAAGAGAAUGGAGCUCCUGGGUAGAAAUACCCAAAAGCCUCCAGUGGGCGACCCAAAGCUUGACCCUCAGCACUGGAGACCGGAAGAUGUGGGAAAAGUGGUCUUGAAAGCGAAGUCAGGCCAGAGUCCGGAAAGGACGGAUAUGAAGUUAGUGCACGGUGUAGCAAGUUCAUUACAGGCUCCAGCAGGUUUGGGGGAAAACAGCCCAAAGGAGAUGGGGGGGAAACAAGAAAUUAGAGACAAAAUAGGCGCUGAAUCUGAGAGUGCAGAGACUACAGCAGGGUCUAGGAGGGGGUCUGGCUUUAAAGAGAGGUUGAAAUUUAGUGGGGUGGGGAUCAGAGGAGAGGACCUGAGAUCCGGACCACAUACACCAGAGCAGAAUGAGGAGGAGCUGAGGUCGAGUGGAGAGAAGCUGAGUGGAGAGCAGCUGAGUGGAGAGAAGCCUAGGUCAAGUGGAGAGCAGCUGAGGUCGAGUGGAGAGACGCUGAGUGGAGAGAAGUUGACCUCAAGUGAGAAGCUGAGUCUGAGUGAAGAGAAGCUGAGGUCAAGUGGAGAGAAGGAGGGCUCCAGGGAAGAGAAGCCAGAAAGUAGCGGAGAGGAUUUGAGAUCCACUGGAGAUAAACUGAAGUCAAGUGCAGACAAGCUGGAGGGUUCAGGGAUGGAGAGUGUAACUGAAGAGACAACUGAAAGAGAGCUAGAAGUGACUAAUGAUGAAAAACAGAGGAAAAUUACCGAUGCUGAGAUGGAAAAUCCUUUUGAAAGGGUGGAAGGGAGUGAUGAGCUACAAGAGACUGAGGAAGCAGUGGGAGUUGAGAAGGAUGUCUUGGGCGGAGUGAAUGAUCCUGCUGAGGAAUCUGUUUCUAUCGAAGAGAAAGAGGUUACAGAUGAAGGUGAUGAUGAGUGAGGCCGAUGAAGGAGUGGAGCUAGCGAAGGAAGCAGAGACAGCGGAAGUGGGGAAAGUCAAGGAGGGGAAAUUAGAUCCAAGCAGAGAGGUCCUGACUGUGAAGAGGUAAAUAUGAGAGAGGAAAGGAGAAGCUGGGAAUGAAGAGCUUUUGAGGAUGAGGUGGAGGCUAGGGCCAAAGGAAAUGAAGAAGAAUGAGAACAAGGGGAAUGAGAAGAUUUCAAGGAGAAAAAAAAAAAAAAAAGAUCUGAUAAUGUGUUGCUACCUGGAGGAAACAUGGAGAUUGUUCUCUUGGAGAAGAGCUGUGACUGACGGGCUUGUUGGGAAAUGUUUGAGAAAUGGAUUUGGGAGGGGCUAGAGGAUUUCGUUUAGCGUGUGAUUGGUUUAUAAGAUAGAGAAGAAUGCAUAGUGAGAAAAAAGGGGAAUGACAGCAGGAUAAAGGGUAGAUAAUGAAGGCUGUGAAGGAAGAUGCAACCUGGAGUGAGCCCAGAAAUCUUCCGAGAGAUGAUCCUGGAGACAAACAAGGGGCUCCAAAGUGACCCAGGCAAGAGAAAAGAAAGAAGUGGAAAAAAAAAAAAAAACUUCAUUUUGGCCAACCGCAUCAUCUAAUAGCUUCCAGAGAAAGAGACCAUGGGAGGUCUCUGCCUUCCCAGGAUCAUCUACUACGAGGCUCCUUUGGUGAUUCUCCGGGCACAAAGAAAUCGUUGCCUCUCUUACGGGAUGCCUACACAGGCAUGAGGUCAAGACAGUUGUAUGGGUCUCUCAGACUGCAUAUAAGUCAUGAGCUGAAUAACCAGACUUAUUCUUUGGCUGGAUUAUACUUUCUCCUGGGAUACCAGAUUCAUUCCACUGAGGCCAUGGAAACAAAAAAAUGAAGAUUGAGACAC